AUCCUGGCUCAGGAUGACACUGGCGGCGUGCUAAUACAUGCAAGUCGAACGAGAACCUUGGAUUCGUCUGGGGGGGAGAGUGGCGAACUGGUGAGUAACACGUGGGUGACCUGCCCCGAAGACGGGGAUAAGCGUUGGAAACGACGGCUAAUACCCGAUAUACUCGGUGAUUCGGUUUAUCGAGUAAAGGCUCCGGUGCUUCGGGAUGGGCCUGCGGCCUAUCAGCUAGUUGGUGGGGUAAUGGCCCACCAAGGCGAAGACGGGUAGGGGGCGUGAGAGCGCGGNCCCCCACACUGGCACUGAGAUACGGGCCAGACUUCUACGGAAGGCAGCAGUCGGGGAUAUUGCACAAUCGGCGAAAGCCGGAUGCAGCGACGCCGCGUGGGCGAUGAAGGCCUUCGGGUUGUAAAGCCCUUUUAUGGGGGAAGAGACAAGGACGGUACCCCAAGAAUAAGCGUCGGCUAACUACGUGCCAGCAGCCGCGGUAAAACGUAGGACGCAAGCGUUAUCCGGAUUUACUGGGCGUAAAGAGCGUUGAGGCGGUUCCGUAAGUUGGGCGUGAAAGCCCCGGGCUUAACCCGGGGGGGUCGUUCAAUACUGCGGGACUUGAGGGCAGCAGAGGGAGGCGGAAUUCCCGGUGUAAGCGGUGAAAUGCGUAGAUAUCGGGAGGAACACCAGUGGCGAAGGCGGCCUCCUGGGCUGUUUCUGACGCUGAA
rnacentral:rRNA from 1 species